rnacentral:rRNA from 1 species
GACGAACGCUGGCGGCGUGCCUAAUACAUGCCAGUAGAACGCACAGUUUAUACCGUAGCUUGCUACACCAUAGACUGUGAGUUGCGAACGGGUGAGUAACGCGUAGGUAACCUGCCUGGUAGCGGGGGAUAACUAUUGGAAACGAUAGCUAAUACCGCAUAAUAUUAAUUAUUGCAUGAUAAUUGAUUGAAAGAUGCAACUGCAUCACUACCAGAUGGACCUGCGUUGUAUUAGCUAGUAGGUGAGGUAACGGCUCACCUAGGCGACGAUACAUAGCCGACCUGAGAGGGUGAUCGGCCACACUGGGACUGAGACACGGCCCAGACUCCUACGGGAGGCAGCAGUAGGGAAUCUUCGGCAAUGGACGAAAGUCUGACCGAGCAACGCCGCGUGAGUGAAGAAGGGUUUCGGAUCGUAAAGCUCUGUUGUAAGAGAAGAACGGGUGUGAGAGUGGAAAGUUCACACUGUGACGGUAUCUUACCAGAAAGGGACGGCUAACUACGUG